rnacentral:rRNA from 1 species
AUUGAACGCUGGCGGCAGGCCUAACACAUGCAAGUCGAACGGUAACAGGAAACAGCUUGCUGUUUCGCUGACGAGUGGCGGACGGGUGAGUAAUGUCUGGGAAACUGCCUGAUGGAGGGGGGUAACUACUGGAAACGGUAGCUAAUACCGCAUAACGUCGCAAGACCAAAGAGGGGGACCUUCGGGCCUCUUGCCAUCGGAUGUGCCCAGAUGGGAUUAGCUAGUAGGUGGGGUAACGGCUCACCUAGGCGACGAUCCUUAGCUGGUCUGAGAGGAUGACCAGCCACACUGGAACUGAGACACGGUCCAGACUCCUACGGGAGGCAGCAGUGGGGAAUAUUGCACAAUGGGCGCAAGCCUGAUGCAGCCAUGCCGCGUGUAUGAAGAAGGCCUUCGGGUUGUAAAGUACUUUCAGCGGGGAGGAAGGGAGUAAAGUUAAUACCUUUACUCAUUGACGUUACCCGCAGAAGAAGCACCGGCUAACUCCGUG